rnacentral:lncRNA from 1 species
GAAAGGCAAAAGAAAGACAUUGAGCUCAAGUGUUGAAUAAAAGAAAAAGCAUGAGAAAAGAAAAAGAAGAAANGAAAAAGCAUGAAAGAUGAGCUCAAUGAAAAAAAUAAAAGAAAAGGGAAGAAGGUGGGAAUGAGUANAAUUGGUUAAGAAGAGAGUUUCUACUUGAACUUUGAAUGCUAAAAUAGCUCUCUUAACUCAAGGAUUUUGUGCUCCAGAAAAACAAAUUUUUCUUAAUUAGCCCAGCCUCAUUAUAAACCUUGAAAAAGUCCUUGUGAUGGCAUUUGUAUGUGAGAAUCUUAAUUGUAUUAUAUGAAGGGGCAAUUUUGUU